rnacentral:rRNA from 1 species
UGGGGAAUUUUGCACAAUGGGGGAAACCCUGAUGCAGCGACGCCGCGUGAUUUAGAAGGCCUUCGGGUUGUAAAAAUCUUUUCUAUGGGAAGAAAAUGACAGUACCAUAGGAAUAAGGACCGGCUAAUUACGUGCCAGCAGCCGCGGUAAUACGUAAGGUCCGAGCGUUGUCCGGAAUCAUUGGGCGUAAAGGGUACGUAGGCGGGUAAGCAAGUUAGAAGUGAAAUCCUAUAGCUCAACUAUAGUAAGCUUUUAAAACUGCUCAUCUUGAGGUAUGGAAGGGAAAGUGGAAUUCCUAGUGUAGCGGUGAAAUGCGCAGAUAUUAGGAGGAAUGCCGGUGGCGAAGGCGACUUUCUGGCCAUAACCUGACGCUGAGGUACGAAAGCGUGGGUAGCAAACAGG